GACAGAGGGUGCAAACGUUGCUCGGAAUUACUGGGCGUAAAGCGCGUGUAGGCGGACUGGUGUGUCGGAUGUGAAAUCCCCAGGCUCAACCUGGGAACUGCAUUCGAAACUGCCAGCCUUGAGUGGUGGAGAGGGAAGUGGAAUUCCUGGUGUAGAGGUGAAAUUCGUAGAUAUCAGGAGGAACACCAGUGGCGAAGGCGGCUUCCUGGACACCAACUGACGCUGAGACGCGGAAAGCGUGGGGAGCAAACAGG
rnacentral:rRNA from 1 species